GGUUGUUCUUGCAACGUUGCAUUUUCAUCGUACAUAACCGAGGCUAGUGCAAAUUCACAAAGUGCAUCUAUGACAGACGGAGCCAUCAUUAAAUUCGACAGAACAGAGGCAAAUUACGGUGCAGGAUAUAGUACCAGUACAGGAAAGUUUACAGCACCUUCCUCUGGUGUUUACGGGUUCACAUGGACCUUUUGCGUCGAUUCACGUACUACUGACGGUGGU
rnacentral:lncRNA from 1 species